rnacentral:lncRNA from 1 species
GGGGACACGGAGACCAAGACAAUGUAUGAAAAAUGAGUAAAGUUGGAUGAAAAGUGGGUAAAGUGGUGGGACCUAUCAAUAUUUAAUAAUUGAUUUGAGAUAGUGGAGGAAAGUAGUGGGUGUAAUAGUAGUUUUUAUUGUUAAAUAUGAGAUAGUGGGGGUAGAUAGUGGGUGUAAUGAUGAGAAAAACUUACUAUUUAUAGUAACGUAAAGAAAUGAGAGGGACAUCCCA